UUGAAAUGGAAUGUUUUGAUGAACUGAUCUGAAAGAGUCUUAUGCCAUGUGUGGUGAGUAUUUGGGUAGUCCAUGCAUUGUAUUUUGGGUCUAGAACUUGCCCGGUAUGUGAGUUGAAGCGAAAUUCUAGGUGAUGCUUGGCUUGAGAGAUGAUUUUAGGCUCUCUUUGGUUUUUCUUGAGCUUAAUCGCUAAUCAUAAAUAAAAUUUGUCCCUAGUAACCCUUUUGAGCCUUUAGAAUUUUUAUUUGGCACCCGCAAUACAAGCCGUACCCCAUUGUUCUUUAUUGACAUGAUUUUGAUUCCUUACCUCUUAAAGCACUUUAUUGGUGAGAUGAGCGCUAAAAGAAGUAAAAGAGGGAGAUACGAGUAGGGUGGCUUCGAGUGGAACCAAUAAAAAGAAGAAAAGGUGCACUUGCUUGGAAAAUGGAUACACCACUAGCGGAAAUUGAAAAAACAAUAUUAGAUGAAUACAUUGUGUCUUGUUCUUGCUAGUGGUUAUGAAUUAAUGUAGUGCUUAAAGAAGAAUGGAGCAUUUUUGGGGUGAUAUUGUAUGUAAAAGGGAAGUAUAUUGAAGAAUAUUCGCUUAAAUUUGAUUACGUGAUGUGUUAAAGUGCAUAGGAGGGUUAGUCACUAUUCCUAAAUCUAUCCUACCCGUCUUUUAGCCCACAUUACAACCAUAACAAGUCCUGACUGAUUUUCAGCCGAGUUAACCUACAUUAGUAGAUAUUUACAUUAAGGGAGAGCCUAUGGUACUCGUUGCAUGCGUGUAACUUUAUUGGUGUGAGUGAGCGUUUCUAUUGAUGUAUAUGAGUGUUUGGUUCGAUUGUGGAACAAAUUCAGUUGUGUGAUAUAAUGGUGAGGGCAUAUGACUCUUGAUAGAAAAGCAAGUCUUGACUUCUGUGUAGAGUACUUUGGGAAAGUGUAAAUAUUGUGUGGCUCGUGAGAGUUGUCUAUGAGGCUAUAAAUGUUCAGGGCCAGGCGCAACGGAUGUGUAUUGUUCUAGGUGGAAUGUGCUAAGGGGAAUGGUUGAGUGGCGAAUUAUCAAAAGAGUAUAGUGUGAUUGCUCGAGGGCUAGAAAUGAUUAAGUGUGGGGUGUUGAUAAUAGGCAAAAUCGAGGUGAUUUAGCCGUUGUUUGUGCCUCUACUUGAUUAUAUUCCAAUUGUAUAUUAUGAUUAAUUUAUGAAAGAUGGGCUGUAAUAUCGAAUUGCAUAUGUUGCAGGUUAAAGAUCAUAUUUGGUGCAAGAAAAUGUUGAUUGGAAUCAUUCGAGAGCAAUUGAGUCCCCUCGGGACUAAAUGGGAUCAAAGAGAACUCAAGAAAAUGAA
rnacentral:lncRNA from 1 species